CUGUAUAUUUUCAGGUUCCCGGACGGGGGACGACGCUGGAGGACGACGCUGGAGGACGACGUUGGAGGACCAAGGCCGGCCAACAGAAGAAGAGGAAUUUAUUGUCUAGUUAUGUACAGUGCAUCCUAUUAGUGAAAAGGCGGAAGACAGUUAACGCUGAUCCAGAUGCCUUAGUGAGACAGAGCUUGUCUCCCAUUCAACUGGAGCCCCCUACUGGAAGAUGCGGAUGCAGACCGAUGGGGCCCGUCAGAAGAUGAACGCAAGGAGCCGAUUCCGCAACCAGGAAGCCUAUUAGAGAAGUGCCAUUUAUGUCUCCCUUUCUUAUUUUUUGUCUGUUUCCUGUAUCCUCCCUACGCUAACAUAACUAAAACUUAUCUUCUCCUCCCCAUCCUCUUCCUCCAUUUUACUCUUUCCUGAUCU